rnacentral:lncRNA from 10 species
CCACAAGUAUGGUCUGGAUUACUUUGUUUGCUCAGCUGUUCCUGGCUCUGCUCAUCUUGCCUCAAACCAAGCAACUGAGAGGGGCAUGGAUCAUAGGGUCCAUCAGCUGCCUGAUGGAGCCCCACAUUCGGGCCUUCCCCCUCCUCUACUCAUCAAUCUCCAUUGUCCUGGCAAGAAGCUACUAACCGAGUGCCUACCAUGUGCCCAGCAUUAUUCUAUGUGGUGGUGAUAGUGGUCAUCAAGACAAAGACUCUGCCUGCUCUGCAACUUGCCUUCAAGAAAAAUGAGAUCAUAGAAAUAAGCAGUUCCAUCAAUGAAUCAUGCAAGAUUGUAUCCAAUAGCUCUAAACACUACAAAGAAAAUAAAAGGAACAUAAUUGAUAAUAGAGAGUGAUACUGGGAGCUAAGGCGGCUUAGAGUUGGCACACAAGUAAGGCCUCUCUGAGAUGAAUCCUAAAUGAUGAGAAUGAAUCCACUAUGUAAAGAUAAAGGGAACAACAUUCCAGGUAGACGGCCUAGAAGCACAGCACAGAAGUCAUAAGACAGAAACCGAUUUCAAGGCUAAAUCCAGGACAUUUUUUUUUUUUUUUUUUUGAGACAGAGUCUCACUCUGUUGCCCAGGCUGGAGUGCAGUGGUGCAAUCUUGGCUCGCUGAAACCUCUGCCUCCUGGGUUCAAGCAAUCCUCCUGCAUCAGCCUCCCGAAUAGCUGGGACUACAGGCACGCACCACCGCGCCCCGCUAAUUUUUGUAUUUUUAGUGAUUCGUCCACCUUGGACUCCCAAAGUGUUGGAAUUACAGGCGUAAGCCACCAUGCCCAGCCUAGAUCAAGAAAAUCGUAAGACUUUUCUAAACUUCCAAAAUUAAAUAUAUAAAAAAAAAAUCCACAUCUCUUAUUCCUAUGUAUGUAUGUAUUUAUUUAUUGCUGCAAAGUUUUUGAGAGUUUUUUCAAAGGGAAUAACCAAGAUCUUCAUAUUCCAUUGGGACUUUGCUAAUAAAAUUGGUUAUUAUUUUAAGUACAUUCCCCAUGGGAAAAGGGC